GGUGGUGGCACCUGCAGACCAGGCCGAGGCUAAUCAGAAGUAAACCUAGAGAUGGGUUGAGGGGACUUUACUAGGGACCCCUAGAGAUGGAAGACGUGGGAGAAGAGAAAUUGCCCCACUCAAAUCUCUUCCUACAAAUGCUCUGGAGCACCUCUUGAAGGCUCCAUGUGCUGAGGUGGACCCCAAAUCCUGCCAGAUGCCAUCACUUAUCCUCCUUUGGACACCUGCACAAAUAUUCCUGGGCCCAGUCUCCUGUUGAGGUCAUUCCUCGUGCCACUGCUUCUGUGUGGCCUCUAAAAACUGAGGGCAACUCCCUCAGCCCCUCUGCUUUUCCUUCAUUAGCAACCCUGCAAUACAAUGAUAAAGACAGGGAUGCACUGCACAGUUCUGACAGAAAUGGGACCCAUCCUGGGGUUGUCUGGGCUGUUGAAGUACUUUCCCUGGGUUGGAGCAUUUCACAUUAAUGAGAAUCUUUUCCCUGAAACUAGACAACUUGCUUCUGGCCGGCUUGUCCUUCAUUGUCCUCAGGGGGCUGUGAGAGUGGGCACCAGCACUCUGUGCUCCUCCUUCAAGCCUUCUACUGACAGCUUCCUCUCCUCCUAUCUUCCUGUCCCAGCCCCUCUGCAUUCUAAUGUGUCUGCCCUGUCCAUGUGAAGGCUCAUGUUGUCUGAACCAGAGAAUGAUUUAGAUCAGAUUGAUCUUAGAGGAUAAUCCUGUCUCUUGGGUGACAACCCUUUCAGACUGCUAGGAGGGAUUGGUGGGACUGGGUUGGAACUGAAUGACCUUGUGUUAAGCCCUCAUCUUUUCCACCCCUCCCAGCCUCUGCUCUGCAUCACACCUCGGGGUGUGUGAAGAUCCACCCCCACUGGAAGGGCCAGAUGUCAUUGUGCCUAUUCUCAAGGAUGAUGGAUCCUACAUGCUCUGUGCAGUUUGGAUGGAUGAUCCUGAAGCGCCAGUCCAGGCCUGUGCUGGGGCCUGGCACCCUACAGCCCAGCAGCCCAUCUGCUGUGCUGAGGCCAUUGUGGUGAAAGAUGCCACCUACCAAAAAGAGAAAGUCAUGUUGGCAACUGCUGAUUGGGCUGAGGCUACCUCCAGGGUGUGUGGAGAUCCACCCCCACUGGAAGGGCCAGAUGUCAUUGUGCCUAUCCUCAAGGAUGAUGGAUCCUACUUGCUCUGUGGAUACUGGGCAGAUGAGCCUGAAGCACCAGUCCAGGCCUGGGCUGGGGCUCUGCACCCUACAGCCCAGCAGCCCAUCUGCUGUGCGGAGGCCAUUGUGGUGGAAGAUAGCUCCAGCCAGAAGGAGAAAAUAGAGGUGGCAUCUGCAGAGCAGACUGAGGCCAUACCCAGGGUGGGUGGAGAUCCACCCCCACUGGAAGGGCCAGAUGUCAUCGUGCCUAUCCUCAAGGAUGACGGAUCCUACCUGCUCUGUGCAUAUUGGGCAGAUGAGCCUGAAGCCCCAGUCCAGGCCUGGGCUGGGGCCCUGCACCCUACAGCCCAGCAGCCCAUCUGCUGUGCUGAGGCCAUUCUCGUGGAAGAGCCCUCAUCACAAGAGGAGGAAGGGAAGGUGGCACGUGCAGACCAGGCUGAGGCUAAUCAGAGGUGCUAAGAACUUCCUCUGGUGGAUACCAUGAAACCUGACUCUGUUCAUUCCAGGACCCCAUUUAUAUUAAAGUUUGGUUUUGUUAAUUAUUUGGGUUGAAUAUUUUGCUCCAUAAUCUUUAAACCUCACAAAUACAUGGAUUAGUAUAACACUGGAACCUGGAAUUCUAGGUGUCUUCUGAUAACUGUAGUCAAGAUUGCUCCUAUGCCACAGGACGUGUCUACAUGCAUCAAGUCUAGUGAAAAAAGCCAGACAUAGUCCAAUACCAUGUGAGUACAGGUUAAAGCAGACCUGCUAGGAGUGCACAGUAAGGAGGCAGUUCUAAGGUGAAUGCAAGAAUGCAUAUACUCAAGAUGAGCAUGAGAAUCUCUCAAGACAGUGAGGGAGUGUCAUUAGAAAGGCGUGUGGGACUCUUCUGGAAUCUUAGUGGGGAUAUUCACUUUCAACAACAUAUUAAUGUGUCCCCUUGAAUUUCAUGGGUCUUUCUCCAUACUGGUUUACAAAACAAAGGAAAAUGAUCGGGCCGGCACCAUGGCUCAAUAGGCUAAUCCUCCACCUAGCAGCACCGGCACACUGGGUUCUAGUCCCGGUUGGGGCACCAGAUUCUGUCCCAGUUGCUCCUCUUCCAGGCCAGCUCUCUGCUGUGGCCAGGGAGUGCAGUAGAGGAUGGCCCAAGUGCUUGUGCCCUGCACCCCAUGGGAGACCAAGAAAAGCACUUGGCUCCUGCCUUCAGAUCAGUGCGGUGUGUCGGUCACAGCGUGCCAGCUGUGGCAGCCUUUGGAGGGUGAACCAAUGGCAAAAAGGAAGACCUUUCUCUCUGUCUCUCUCUCUCACUGUCCACUCUGCCUGUCCAAAAAAAAAAAAAUGAUCAUUUCCUGUCAGCACAUCAUCACAGGAAGCACACAGGGAACUACAAAAUUUGGCUGUUUCUCUUCUGCACAGUGCAGUGAGCCUUGGGCCCCUUGCUGCCUGACUGUUGAGCAAAGGGUAGGAGGUG
ensembl:lncRNA